UGGGCAACCUGCCCCUCUCUCUGGGAUAACCCCGGGAAACCGGAACUAAUACCGGAUACUCCGGCUGGAUCGCAUGGUCCGGCCGGGAAAGGUCCGCCGGAGAGGGAUGGGCCCGCGGCCUAUCAGCUUGUUGGUGGGGUCAUGGCUCACCAAGGCGACGACGGGUAGCUGGUCUGAGAGGACGACCAGCCACACUGGAACUGAGAUACGGUCCAGACUCCUACGGGAGGCA
rnacentral:rRNA from 1 species